rnacentral:rRNA from 1 species
GACGAACGCUGGCGGCGUGCCUAAUACAUGCAAGUAGAACGCUGAAGGAGGAGCUUGCUCUUCUGGAUGAGUUGCGAACGGGUGAGUAACGCGUAGGUAACCUGCCUGGUAGCGGGGGAUAACUAUUGGAAACGAUAGCUAAUACCGCAUAACAGUAGAUGUUGCAUGACAUUUACUUAAAAGGUGCAAUUGCAUCACUACCAGAUGGACCUGCGUUGUAUUAGCUAGUUGGUGGGGUAACGGCUCACCAAGGCGAGGAUACAUAGCCGACCUGAGAGGGUGAUCGGCCACACUGGGACGGGGACACGGCACAGACUCAUACGGGAGGCAGCAGUAGGGAAUCUGCGGCAAUGGACGGAAGUCAGACCGAGCAACGCCGCGUGAGUGAAGAAGGUUGUCGGAUCGUAAAGCUCUGUUGUAAGAGAAGAACGAGUGUGAGAGUGGAAAGUUCACACUGUGACGGUAUCUUACCAGAAAGAGACGGCUAACUACGUG